UCAAAGAAAACAGCACCAUCGGAUGUUCCGAUGGCCCCUAGAAAGGCGUCGGAGUAAUCGACGGAGGUUUUGGUAGUAUGCGGAAGAAAAUAGGCAAAGUCAACCAUCGGAUGUUCCUGUAAAAACUCUGCCUUAAUUAGGUGUAAUUAAACAUAAACAAGUCUUUGGUCACUAAGCAAAAGAGGUAAAAUGUCCUUUUUGACCCUAAGAAGCUCUUUUCGGAGUUAAAUAUAAAACUUGAGUUUUUAUAUACAAACUUGAAAUUUUGCCCAAAUAAGAGUUGUAAAACUUUUAAUUUCAAACAACUUUUGUUAAAGACGCUUUGGCUAAUUCGGAGUGGGAGAAGGUCAAAAACAAGAAUCAAAACAGGAGUAUUAUAGAACCCUACAAACAACCUAAGUCCUGGAAUUCAAGUUUUUCUUCGACUUUGGAACCUGUUAUCUCACAAGUUCACAUCUAACCUCGAGUCAGACCUUUAAUAAAAACUGUAGUCCCUUGAGUGUGUUCCCAACUUUGUUACACUGACCUAGGUCUAAAUCAUAA
rnacentral:lncRNA from 1 species